GACGAACGCCGGCGGCGUGCUUAACACAUGCAAGUCGAACGGAAAGGCCCUGCUUUUGUGGGGUGCUCGAGUGGCGAACGGGUGAGUAACACGUGAGUAACCUGCCCUUGACUUUGGGAUAACUUCAGGAAACUGGGGCUAAUACCGGAUAGGAGCUCCUGCUGCAUGGUGGGGGUUGGAAAGUUUCGGCGGUUGGGGAUGGACUCGCGGCUUAUCAGCUUGUUGGUGGGGUAGUGGCUUACCAAGGCUUUGACGGGUAGCCGGCCUAAGAGGGUGACCGGCCACAUUGGGACUGAGAUACGGCCCAGACUCCUACGGGAGGCAGCAGUGGGGAAUAUUGCACAAUGGGCGGAAGCCUGAUGCAGCAACGCCGCGUGCGGGAUGACGGCCUUCGGGUUGUAAACCGCUUUCGCCUGUGACGAAGCGUGAGUGACGGUAAUGGGUAAAGAAGCACCGGCUAACUACGUG
rnacentral:rRNA from 1 species